UGACAACAAUGCCAAACGGCUAAAUUUGAAAAGUUUCACUCAUUGAUGUUUGACGCGUGUACGCGUACCUCGGAAUGAAAGCGUUAUGUGAUUCAUCAAAGUGAGGAGCCAGUUAUCACUUUCUUUUUAGAAUUAUCACCUUGGUUGCCUUCUUUACACACGGAUAUGCGUUCGCCUUUGGGGGGGGCAAUUCUUUCAUUGGAUUGCAAUACUUUCUCAUUCUGGACAAGACAAACGUGGUGCACUUCUUCUUCAACUAUGUUCGCUGUGCCGUGGCUACUACUCUGGCACUUGGGGCUGUCAACGAACGGACAGAACCAAUCGGCUACCUCAUAGCUGCAUAUGUUUUCUCAGGACUAAUCUACCCUCUGGCCUGUCAUUGGAUCUGGGACCAGCAAGGCAUCUUCAGUCCAACCUCCACCUCCAGUCCAGCACAGGACCAUGCAGGUAGCGGGGUCAUCUUCCUACUGGGUGGAGCAACUGCAGCAGUUUCACUGUACAUUAUAGGGCCCCGGGACGGUCGCUGGAGCUCCCAUUUCAAACGGAAAGCGCACGUUCAGUCAAUGGUGGUGCUUGGGGGAGGCCUUCAAAUGCUGGGCUUCUUCGGCCUGGCGAUGGGCGCUCACCCCCGUCUGCUGGGCGCUGAGGGGGGCCAGCUGCUGGGGCGGGCCGUCGUCAACCUGCUGCACAGCGCUUCAUCUGGAGGACUUUACGGACUGAUUCUCCAACGCUUCGACAAGAACUACUAUGAUCUGGACAGCAUGUCCUCUGGGGCCAUUGCUGGAAUGGUAACAAACAUCUGGGGUUUUAGAAAAACGUGUAGCAAGAGCGUGCCAUGCAGGGAUGACUAGA
rnacentral:lncRNA from 1 species